UCUCUGACCUCGUUUGGCAGCCACUGGCUCUCAGAAGGCAUCAAAUGCAGCUCCUGGAGCAGCGAGACCAGGAGGCAUCAAAAGGAAUUCUACCCCAGGAGGUAGGCGGAACACGCACGAUUGGCCAAUAAUAAAAAACAGAAGCGGC